CAGUGGCCAUCAGUUACCACCCAGAAGCAUGUCAAGGACCAACAAAGCUGACCCCAUGGUGCAGAUAGAAAUCUAUGGUGUGCCAGAGGACCAAACAAGAAAGAAAUCUAGUGUUGUAAAAAGGAAUGCUCUGAGCCCUAAAUGGAACGAAACCUUCUCUUUUAACAUCCAAGUUCCAGAGCUGGCACUGAUACGCUUCUGUGUGCAGGAUGAGAUUUCUCUAGCUAACAAUGAAUUCCUUGGCCAGUACACUUUACCUGUGAUGAGCCUGAAUACAGGUAAUACUUUUAUGUCACCCACCUAUAACAGCUCAAAAAAAUCUGCAAAAUUCCAGGCUUUUAUUGUUAUUGUAGCAUUGAGAGACUUCAGCACUACGUUUGUUUUCUAGAGCACAAUUUUGUAACAAAAUGAAUAAAUGGCACUCUCUGUUUUUUGAAAUAAACAUAUUCUCUGAA